CACUCGAGGCACUGUCCCAGAUAACGGCGAGUGAAGCGGCAAAAGCUCCAAUUUUGAAAUCCCCCCGGGGAGUUGUAAUUUGAAGACUAGGGGAUUUGGCCCAAACCUGCGCAAGUCCAUUGGAACAUGGCGCCCAAGAGGGUGAGAGCCCCGCCGCGCAGGCCGCAGCCUUGACAUCCCCCCGUCAAAGAGUCGAGUUGUUUGGGAAUGCAGCUCAAAGUGGGUGGCAAAUUCCAUCUAAAGCUAAAUAUUGGCGAGAGACCGAUAGCGAACAAGUACAGUGAUGGAAAGAUGAAAAGCACUUUGAAAAGAGAGUGAAACAGUACGUGAAAUUGUUGAAAGGGAAGGGCUUGCAAGCAGACACGAGUUCGCUCGGGGCAGCCUCAGUUUCGCGAGGUGGACAACACGCCGGGAAUGUGGCAGGCUCCGGCCUGUGUUAUAGCCUGCGCGCCAUACACCUCCGCGAGAUUGAGGCCUGCUCCCAAAGGAUGCUGGCGUAAUGGUUGCAAGUCGCCCGUCUGAAAACGGGGCCAAAAAAAAAUCC
rnacentral:rRNA from 1 species